AUUGAACGCUGGCGGCAGGCCUAACACAUGCAAGUCGAGCGAGCGGCGGACGGGUGAGUAAUGUGUGGGGAACUGCCCGAUAGGGGGGGAUAACUACUGGAAACGCUAGCUAAUACCGCAUAUUAUCAGAUGUGCCCAGAUGGGAUUAGCUAGUGGGUGGGGUAACGGCUCACCUAGGCGACGAUCCCUAGCUGGUCUGAGAGGAUGACCAGCCACACUGGAACUGAGACACGGUCCAGACUCCUACGGGAGGCAGCAGUGGGGAAUAUUGCACAAUGGGCGCAAGCCUGAUGCAGCCAUGCCGCGUGUGUGAAGAAGGCCUUCGGGUUGUAAAGCACUUUCAGCGGGGAGGCGUUACCCGCAGAAGAAGCACCGGCUAACUCCGUGCCAGCAGCCGCGGUAAUUC
rnacentral:rRNA from 1 species